UUUGCACUGGCAGGUCUCAUACGGCCAGCUCCUACUGAACUCCCCCAGGGUCGGAAGACAGCAAGGGUAGGUGGUUGUAGCGGCGCGAUAUGAUAAGCCUGCCAUUUU
rnacentral:SRP_RNA from 1 species